CUUAAUAUUGUGUUUCAUCUUCUACAACGGUGAUCUUUUCUUUUUUGUUCAUGCAGAAAGCACAUGACUGUUCAUCUUCAACCUCUCAAAAUCAGGGUAAACAAUUUGAAUAAACUUCACUUUAACCCCAACUACUUUGUCAUAUGUUAUGCCUUUUCAAUUACAAAACUAUUGAACAAUUUUUUUUUCUUUCUUGGAUUCGUAUUGCUAAACUCUAUCAUCCAUAAUUUAUCCAUCAUAUCCAUCAAAAUAUAUAAUACAACAUAAUCCUAUAUUAUAUAAACAUGCUAGCUAUUGAAUAAGUGGAAUGGAAAACAAACUAGUAGAACUACAUAAAGAAAACGUACUAGUACGAGUAGAAGAAUUAAUAGUAGUAAUAAUAAUUGUAGUAGCAGUAGCAUGGGUAAUGCUAAUAACAAUUACAUUUACAUGAUUAAAAAUACAUAGUAAAAGGAGGUUCAAUAGCAUUACAUAAUAAACUAGGAGGAGUUAGAGGAACUAGAGAUAGUAGCAACAACAGUAGUAAUAGUGGCAGCAGUAGCAUGAAUAAGUUUCUUCGUCAAAAAAAUUUUCUUCCCAUAUACAUGUCGAGCAAUAGGAUUAUACAAUAAGGUGAUUCAAUGCCUGCAAUCAUGUAAAAAAGAGUAUUACUUGCUUUUUUUUUAAUUCUUCAAACUAGAUUUUAAGAGCUUGAAAGUAAAAAAAAGUAUUCUCAGAUUUCUUGAUUUUAAAUAACUAAACAUAAUUUAUUUUUUUUGCUUUAGGAUAGACCUAACUUACAUUUAAUUUAUUGAUGUUAUUUCAGGAAUGUCAUUCACCUUAUCAAUACAUUGUCUUGAUAAAUGCUAUCAAGUCUUUAAUGCGAAUGAUAAUCGCUAUGGGAUGGUAGAUUUAUUAGAAGAUGCUCAUAAUGGUAUAUCAGGAGGUCCUUCCAGUUGGUUGGGGAAAACUACUCAUUUAGAAGCCAUUAAUCUGAAUACUGGUGUUAUAAUUACAGUGGAUAAUGAUACAAACCUAAAAAAUCUGUUCGAUAUGUAUAAGAAUAUGGAGACAAAAGAGAUUCAUAUAAAACUAAAUAUAAUGAAUGAAAAUCUUGAUGAAGUUGAAGAUGAAAAUUUUCAGUGGACUGACAAUGAGGAGGAUGAAGAUACGAUUGAGAAUAUGGUGAUCACUCGGACUAACAAAAUGAUGAUGUUCUAUCUGAUUAUGAAUCUGAUGAAAACACAGUAUUUGAAGGUGUUAGCGAUGAUGAUGAAGCAGUUGAUCACUCAAUGACGAAGGUAAGUGACAAAAUGCAAGGUGACAUUUUCAAAUAUAUGUAUGAUGAGAAACUAAAAAAAGAGAUUGUUGUACUUAAAGAGGGACAAAUAUUUAAUAAUGUGACUCAUUUUAGAGCAGUUAUUGAAGAAUUUGUCCGCCAAGAGGGUUUUCAUAUUGAGAAGCUAAAGAAUGAGAGGAGAAGGUUUAUUGCUAAAUGUAAAGAUGAAAAAUAUGGCUGGAAUAUUUAUGCCUCCCCUUAUGGCGAUGGAGUAACUUAUAAGAUCAAAAAGCUAAGUGAUCCACACACAUGCCUUCGAGAUAUGAAAGAUCAUGGAGCAACUUCAAGAUGGAUUGCUAAACAAUUUGAGCCAGAGUUUAGAGCCGAUUAUGAUUUAUCUGCGGAUAAGAUUUAUAUUUCAUUGAAAGAGAAAUUUGGCCUUGAUGGUAGUAAGCAAAAGUUGUUAAGGGCAAUAAUAAUUGAAAAAAAGAUAGUUGCUGGAGAUCAUGAAAAGAGUUAUGCCAAAAUACCACAAUACAUAGCUAUUCUAAAAGAGACGAAUGAAGGUGUUGUGGUAAAGUUAAAGUGUAUUGAUUUAGAUCUAUUGAAUCCGAUGUCCAAUCCAAUUCUUGAGCAUUUUUACAUUAGCUUUGAGGCGCAGGGUUAUGGUUUUGUUAGUGGUUGUAGACGCGUUGUUGGUAUUGAUGCUUGUUUUUUCAAGGGGCCAUUUCAAGGACAAUUACUUGUUGCUGUUUCACUUGACGCAAAUUCAAGUAUUUUUCCUUUAGCAGUCAUGAUUGCCAAUAAGGAGGAUGGAUCGACAUGGGAGUAUUUUCUUGACUGCUUGUCCAACUCAAUUGGAGAUAUUGAAGGCAUCACAUUUAUGAGUGACAGGCAAAAAGGGUUAAAGAAUGCUGUGAAUUUUUUUUUUCCAAUGGCUGAUCAUAUAUUUUGUGCAAGACAUUUAUAUAACAAUUUUAAGGUCAAACAUCCUGGUCCAAAGUUAAGGGAGCUUUUCUGGACAGCAGUUAAGGCCUAUAAUGAGCAAGACUUUUGGCAAGUUAUGAAUGAGAUGAAAGAACUAAAUAAAUCUGCCUAUAAUUUGUUGUUGUAUGACUGCAAAGAAUCACUAGAAAGUUGGGCAAGGCAUAAAUUUGAUGAGCAUGUGAAAACCGAUCAUGUUACGAAUAACAUGACCGAGUCUUUCAAUGCUUUUGUGGUGAAAGUUAGAGAGAAGCCAAUUCUUACCAUGUUGGAAUGGAUUAGAACAAAAAUUAUGACUAGAUUUCAACAAAGGUAUGAAAAGGUUGUUGCCUUAGAUAGUCGAAUUCCACCAAAAGUGAGAGAAAGAAUUAAUAAAAAUCAAAAAAUGGGAAGAAAAUUGCUUUGUUUCAGGGGAAGUGAUCACUUGUUUGAAGUUCAUGACUUGAAAAAUUAUGUAGUGAACUUAAAGGAGAUGUCUUGUCAAUACAAAGAAUGGCAAAUCAGUGGUGUACCGUGCAAACAUGCGUUAUGUUGCAUAACUCAUAUUAGAGAUGAUCCGAGCAGAUUUGUCCAUCCUCUACUUACUAAAGAUUUUUAUGUGAAGACUUAUUCUAAAAAGAUCAAUCCAAUUCCAGAUGAGAGCAAAUGGCCAACUGUAAAUCACCCUGUUGUGCGUCCUCGUCAAGAAACAGAGAAGAAAAGAGGUCGAAAACCAAAAAAUAGAAAAAGAGAAGGAGAUGAACAGCCAAAGAACAAGAGAUCAGUUCAUUGCACUUGCAGAACAUGUCAUCAAACUGGACAUAAUAGCAGAACAUGUGGAAAGAAAGCAUCUACUAUAAAUAACUGAUGAGCGUGGACUACAUUAGUAAGUUCAUCUCUUUUUUCAUUUUCUAAUUUUGAGUUCGUAAAAUAAGAAAUAAUUAUUUUGUAUUCUUCAGUUUACAGAUUUCAUUAUGCUGUUGAAUAGAUAUACAAGACGUGAUUCAUUUACUGGACGUGAUGGUGCGUUUCUGGAGAUUUGUCAUUAUUCAUAAUCGGUCCACCCUCAAGACUUGUCUCUUUUGCUUUUGGAGAUUUUCUAGUUCUUAAAACUUCUAUUUUUGCAGUUUAGUUUCAACAGUAUGAUGUUUUUAUUAGUCAAUUCCUAAGCUAAUUAUGCACUGCACAAUUUUUAUCUUCUGACCAGAUAUAGCUAUUAAUGACCUUCUGCCUAGACUAAAGAAGUAAUCAAGUAACUAAUCCCUAAGAAAUCCCAAGUAGCUACCUGUUUAAAACGAAACUCCACAUAGAUAUCAUAACAAAUUAAGCAACUUAAGUAUAAAUCAGCUUAACCUCCAUCAACAGACCACUAGAAACACCAAUGCAGCAAUAUCGUACUCCCUCCGUCCCAAAAUAAGAGUCCCUUUAGAAAUUCAACACAAAAAUCAGUAUAUUUUCCAACUAUAGCCCCAUACUUCAUCUUCUUGAUAGCGUUGAAUUUUCAAGAGACAUUUAUUAAAUAGCUGUAGUUAAGUAAACUACGCAUUAUGUUUAUUGAUUCCUUAAUGGACAUGAUCUUAGCUUCGUUAAGAUGACACUAAUUGUGGGACGGAAGGAGUAUUUGAACACUGUAAAAAGAUUGAUUUUGGAGAAAUAGGAAUGGAUGGAGUAUCAGGAUCAGGCAAAAACUAACCAUGAAUUUGAGGUUGGAGCCACCAAUUGCAAGGUCGUCAUUCGGCUAAUCUUCGUAUGCUCCAUAUCUCAGGUCUUUCAAGCCAGCAAAUUACACUCAAAAUUCAAACAGAUCAGAACAACACAGAAUCAAAAAUAUCAAAGCAAUUAAUAAGCAGAGGUUAAAAGAUCCAAAAUAAAGUUGUUGCACAAAAUUGGAGAAAAUAAGUAAAAUGAUAAAUAAAUUUUUUGACAAAGAAAAAAUACUCACUGGAAAAGUAGCAAUUGCUACUUCAGCAUUUCGAUUGAUGCUGUUCUCUAUGUCAAGGUUUAAUCUUUGCUUCUUAUUGUUUUGCUCUUCUGUUACUCGAUAUUUAGGGAUUUAGGUGUGAAUUUUGAAAUGAUUGUAGACUGUGCAUCCAAAAUUGAAAAUGGAAAAUUGACUAAAAAAAAAAAAUACUUACUGGAAAAUACUCACCCAUUUUGUUCUCUGUAGCUUCUUCUAGAAUGAUGUAAAUUUGCUUUUUUUUUUAAACUAUAUUUUGAUAUUUAAAUAUAAAAAUGGGUGGGCCUGAGAUGCUUUGCUUUUAUAUAUGAAAAAAAAUAAAUAAGUAACUAGGUGUAGCUUUGCUUUAUAAACAGUGGAAUUAAAAUGUUAUCUUCAUAAAAUUAAAUUUCACCUAUUAACUUUAUUAGAUUAAUUAGAUUGAAAGAAAGUGGAAAUUACUAUUUACCCAUCUAGUCAUCGGUCAAAUUUAUAAAGUUG
rnacentral:lncRNA from 1 species